UACGGGGGGGGCAAGCGUUGUUCGGAAUUACUGGGCGUAAAGAGCUCGUAGGCGGUUUGUCGCGUCUGCCGUGAAAGUCCGGGGCUCAACCUCGGGACGUCGGCGGAAACCAUCUGGCUAGAGUCCGGAAGAGGAGAGUGGAAUUCCCGGUGUAGCGGUGAAAUGCGCAGAUAUCGGGAAGAACACCCGUGGCGAAGGCGGCUCUCUGGGACGGUACUGACGCUGAGACGCGAAAGCGUGGGGAGCGAACAGG
rnacentral:rRNA from 1 species